UCUGUGUAUAGCCCAGUUGGUUAGAGCAUGGUGCUGAUAAUGCCAAGGUUGCAGGUUUGAUCCUUCUAAAGGAC